UUAUUCAUUUUUAUUAUAAUAAGUAUAGUAGUAUCUAUAAACAAAUAAUGCCGUACCAAAUAAGAGUUAAUUUAAACGAAAUUGUCUUAGAAUUUAUUUAAUUCGGGUAUUAAGUUCAAAAAAUUUUAAAAUACCAAAUUCAUCAAAAUAAUCAACCUGUUCAACUCUUUUGAUGAUUUUAUUAUAAUUUUUACACAUGCAAAAUAUACUGGAAGAGACAGCUUAGAACAACUCAACUUAGCAGGAAGUUACAGGAAUGGCCUGCAGGAUAAACCGCCAUUCAGAUUUUUUCUACAGAUCCUAAGCGUCACAAAAAAAAAUGUUGACUUUUUCAGAUAUUUAAUUUAACGCAAUUUAACAAGAAGUUAGAAAUUUAUAAUUGUCAACUUAUAUUAAACGAAACAUCACCAAAAAAAUUUUUGUGCCGCUUGGGGUGUUUUUUAUUGUAUUUUUCGAGGAUUGGAGUGUAACCGUGCCAAAUUAUUGAAUAAAUAAAUGUUAGUUUUUCAAUAGCCCAAUUAUAUUAUUAUUAUGAAUUGUUGUUUUUUAAGAAAUUUAUAUAAUAUUCUCAAAACUGAUAAAUUUGCUGUUACUAAUAUUUAUAUAUCAACACGGAACCAAGCAUCUGUUCAAAAUAUUCUUGAUGAAGCCAGAAAGAUUUCAAAACGUUGACAGAAAAAACCAAUAUGGUGAUUGUGAUGAAAGCAAGCCGAAAUAUUAGAAGUAAAAGUACAGUAUUAAUUAAUUUAUCUGUGCAUUAAAUCAAUUCAAAAAAUAAA